CUGAAAAAACUAAUAUGCUGGAUUUACUAAAAAAUAAUAAUAUAUAGUGCACAAUCUUUGCACCCACUUUUUAAAGUAAGUUUUACAUGGAAUUUUAAGCAGUUUAAGCAUUUGCAAUUUUUAAAGUAAGCUUUACAUGGAAUUUUAAGCAGUUUAGGCUAAAAAAAAUUAAGCAAUUGCUUAAAAUUCCAUGUGAAACUUGCUUAAAAAGAGGGACGCAAAAAUGAUGCACUAUAUUUUUUAGUAAAUCGAGCUAAUUAUUUUUAACACUGUAAAAUGAUUUUAAUUCUCAGCAAAUAUAGCUUAAAAAUACAAGCAGAUUUUACCAAUAAAUUUAAGUAAAAUUGAUUCCUGUCCUUAGCAAAUAUAGCUAAAAUAAAUGUAAAGAUUUUACUCAUUAAUUUAAGUUUUGCACAUUACUUGAAUUAUGGCUAUAAUUAUUACUAAAUAUACUGAGCUUUUGGAUUACUAAUAAAAAUUAGUUAACACUAUAAGCAAUUUUGAGAAAAGUCAAGAGUCACAUGACGCAGAUCGGGAGCCUGCGCAGCAGCCAUUUUAAACGGUGGUGUUACUGUUAAGACCUCUUCAGGAAUUAAGAGGGGGCGCACCAGAUGACACUCCAUUUGAGGCUGAAAUAGUUCUGGAAUGGUGUUCAGGUUCUGUGAGGAUUGUCCAGUCUCACCAAAGCGUGCAUUUCCUUGUUUGGCCGAAUAUAUUGUCUUGAUCUUAAGACUUGGGUACACUUUUAAAUUCUUUAAAAAAUACUGCUGCACUUAGACAGUGCAAAACUGUCUCAGAAGAUUUUAACAUUAAAAAAUAAACUGAGUGUUGAGUUAAUUUUCUAAACACAUUCAUACACCACACUCAGACACACGUGUACAACACAAAUUUAGUAGCAUGUUAAUUAAUGUUAUUGUUACAACAUUUACUUGUUGUUUACUUAUUUUCAAAUGAAUGUCUUGCCCUGUUAGCAACAUACGGCAUACAACAAUAGACAUUACAUGCUGAUUCAUGUUAUUGUUAUGAAAUGUCUUGUUUAAUUUUUUAUGAAUUUUUAUGCCUUGUAGCAACAUAUUAUGCACUA